UACGUAGGGGGCAAGCGUUUGUCCGGAAUCAUUGGGCGUAAAGAGCGUGUAGGCGGCUCGGUAAGUCCGCUGUGAAAGUCCAGGGCUCAACCCUGGAAUGCCGGUGGAAACUGUCGAACUAGAGUCCGGAAGAGGCGAGUGGAAUUCCUGGUGUAGCGGUGAAAUGCGCAGAUAUCAGGAGGAACACCAAUGGCGAAGGCAGCUCGCUGGGACGGUACUGACGCUGAGACGCGAAAGCGUGGGGAGCAAACAGG
rnacentral:rRNA from 1 species